rnacentral:rRNA from 1 species
UCGAGAAUUUUUCACAAUGGGGGAAACCCUGAUGGAGCGACGCCGCGUGGGGGAUGAAUGGCUUCGGCCCGUAAACCCCUGUCAUUUGCGAACAAAUUGGUUCAAUUAAUAACUGAACCAUUGAUAGUAGCGAAAGAGGAAGGGACGGCUAACUCUGUGCCAGCAGCCGCGGUAAUACAGAGGUCCCAAGCGUUGUUCGGAUUCACUGGGCGUAAAGGGUGCGUAGGCGGUCGGGUAAGUCUGAUGUGAAAUCUCACAGCUUAACUGUGAAACUGCAUUGGAUACUAUUCGGCUUGAGAGUUGGAGGGGGGACUGGAAUUCUUGGUGUAGCAGUGAAAUGCGUAGAUAUCAAGAGGAACACCAGUGGCGAAGGCGAGUCCCUGGACAACUUCUGACGCUGAGGCACGAAAGCUAGGGGAGCAAACA